rnacentral:piRNA from 1 species
UCUUAAGAACUUCACCUGAGAUGCUAGCC